AAAAAAACGCCAAAAGUAUUUGGAGCAGUUGGAACGCGAAUGGAGGCACGGCGUCUAACUUGGGAAGCCAUAGACUUUGUAGCCAUCGGCUAAACCAUGCGUGUAGUCCCAAUUUAGCGUACCAGUUGACGCAGAACGGAACGAUAAGCUUCUUAGCGAAGCACCACAUCUACCAAGGGAUGCAGCUAACGAUUGAUUACAGAUUGAUCGAAGAUGACAACUGUUGACACGUCUGUAUGUUGACAUAAGAGCGAUAAUAAGUGCGAGAUAAUGAUAAAGGCAGGUGCGCUUAUCGAUUAAACCGAUAAGCUGAUCGACGGUGCCAUAAAACACCGUAAAGAGCUAGAGAGAGAGAGAGAGUUAAGCUUGCUGCUUGCUGCAGUGUGCUAGUGUAUAACUUAAAAUGUGUAGUUUGUAGUUUGUGCAAGUGAAAAAUAUGUGUUUUUGAAUCUUGACUCAACAAAUUGAAUUUCAUCGUGCCAGUAAUGUAAGAAUUAUUAAAAAUGAUUUCACUUUAUGUAAUAAUUUUUCCAAAUUUAAAGUGGCCUCAUUUUUUCAUCAAAGAUCGAAGAUAUAGGAAUUUAUCGUGAAGCCGUGUAAAAAUGGCGUCCAAAAAAUGCGAAUGGAAGGCAGUGUUUCGAAAAAAACGCCAAAAGUAUUUGGAGCAGUUGGAACGCGAAUGGAGGCACGGCGUCUAACUUGGGAAGCCAUCGACUUUGUAGCCAUCGGCUAAACCAUGCGUGUAGUCCCUAUUUAGCGUACCAGUUGACGCAGAACGGAACGAUAAGCUUCUUAGCGAAGCACCACAUCUACCAAGGGAUGCAGCUAACGAUUGAUUACAGAUUGAUCGAAGAUGACAACUGUUGCCGGUGUAUUUUGUGGAUUCACAAAACCGGAACACGUGGAAGGAUUUUUGCGGCCUCACGUUGAUGAAGUAAACAAGCUUCAAUCAAGUGGCUUGCGGUUCGGCAACAAGACAGUGGGCGUUAAACUUCACAUGUCUGAUUUACCCGCCCGCUGCUUUGCCAAAGCUACCAUAAGCUACGUUGGCAAACACAGCUGCCAUAAAUGUACAUGCAUGGGAGUACACGAAGGGAAAAAUGUCAUUGUUGAAGAUGUGGAUGCUGAAUUGCGGACUGAGGAAAGCUUUAAAGGCAGGACGGAUAAGGAACAUCACAAAAGUUGGAAGUCACCAAGAUGUGGAAUUUUCUUACAUCGCCAAUCGCUCCAAGUACAUCACCAAAACGUAGGUCACCCUAUUGCUCCGAUCCUCGUCAUCAAUUCCUAGCAGGGUAUCAAACGCUUCCAAUACGAUAUCGGUGGUUAGUAGAAUGAAAUGAAACCCUCCACGGUUUUCUGUAGCGUUUGGAUUGAAUGUUCAACAAAUUCUCUUAAGCUUUGUAGCUCACGAAGCAACAUUGUAUUGUCCACAUUGUCAGGUGCGCGCGUUGUCGCUGAAGAGGAGCACAUCACAGGGAGCUGUGCCGUAAACAGUUCAUUUUCAUCCAGUAAACCAUCAUAAACGUCCGCACCUGUUGCUGCUAGGCAAGUGAGUUUUUCAGCUGCUCUGCUAUUUACAGCUGUGUUAGGUAAUGAUAAAUGCGUUAGCGAGUCGCUUAUGGGCAAUGCAGAUGGAAGGGUAUCUGACGAUUUUGUAACCAUCUCCGAUUCGAUUCCGAUCGGGAAGAAAGGCGCAGGAUUUCCCGCCAUGUGCUUCAUCUCACAUGGUUCCAGAUCGUUCAUUAAUGGUCGACCGAUGUCUAAACCCGGUAGCGGAGUUAACGAAGAAUGCGCUUCGGGUGCAAGUGAUGGCUUGAUGGCACCUGACACCCGCUUAGCACGGCUCUUUCUAGUUCGUUUAACAGUAUUGGAUGUGGCUUUCUUUUUAUCUUGCUGUCGCACUGGUAUGUUUGACGCUGAUGAUGAUGGAGAAAACACGACGGAUGAUGAUAUCUUGAAAGCAUCCGGCACAAUUGGUUGCAAAAUAGUACAUGGUGUAGACAUCACCAACGGUUCUACCGCUCCGGAUGAUGACGCUGUCAAAGGUAAGGGCAACGAUGAUGCUGAGGCUUCCGCAGCAGCCGGAGGUGUGGAGCGCGUUACAUUAUUUGGCACAGUUUGUGCAAUCGACCGCGCUGCCUCCCCAGACGACAACGGAGCUAGCGGAGGAGGAAGCGAUUGCUGGAUUGAUCCAGGUUGUAUUGCGGGCAGUCCUGCUGCUCCGGAUGACGACGCUGUUAAAGCUAAGGAUAGCGAUGAUGCCGAAGCUUCGACAACAACAUACGAUAUGGAACGCGUUAGAAUGUUUGGCAGAGUUUGUUUAAUCACCCGGCGCUGUGCUGCUGCUCCGGAAGAUAACGGAGCCAGCGGUGGAGGGAGCGCUGAUUGUUUUGCCGCUCCGGACGAUGAACAAGCUGGCGGAGAACGCUUUACUGGUUCCACACUGGAUGCCAGUGAUGAUGCUAGCAUUAGUACGUUAGUUGUUGAAGAAACCUUAUAGCGAAAAAAAGCCAGUAUUUCAUAUUAGACAGGACAAAAUAUCUUCUUUUCUUAUUGUCACUUACGUUGG